rnacentral:tRNA from 1 species
GGGCUAUUAGCUCAGGUGGUUAGAGCGCACCCCCUGAUAAGGGUGAGGUCCCUGGUUCAAGUCCAGGAUGGCCCA